UACGAAGGGGGCUAGCGUUGUUCGGAUUUACUGGGCGUAAAGGGCGCGUAGGCGGCGCGAGAAGUCGAGUGUGAAAGCCCCCGGCUCAACUGGGGAGGGUCACUCGAUACUGAUCGACUCGAAGGCAGGAGAGGGUAGUGGAAUUCCCGGUGUAGUGGUGAAAUGCGUAGAUAUCGGGAGGAACACCAGUGGCGAAGGCGACUACCUGGCCUGUUCUUGACGCUGAGGCGCGAAAGCUAGGGGAGCAAACGGG
rnacentral:rRNA from 1 species